GUGGGGAAUCUUGCGCAAUGGGCGAAAGCCUGACGCAGCCAUGCCGCGUGAAUGAUGAAGGUCUUAGGAUUGUAAAAUUCUUUCACCGGGGACGAUAAUGACGGUACCCGGAGAAGAAGCUCCGGCUAACUUCGUGCCAGCAGCCGCGGUAAUACGAAGGGGGCUAGCGUUGCUCGGAAUUACUGGGCGUAAAGGGCGCGUAGGCGGACAGCUUAGUCAGAGGUGAAAGCCCAAGGCUCAACCUUGGAAUUGCCUUUGAUACUGGCUGUCUUGAGUUUGGGAGAGGUGAGUGGAACUCCGAGUGUAGAGGUGAAAUUCGUAGAUAUUCGGAAGAACACCAGUGGCGAAGGCGACUCACUGGCCCAAUACUGACGCUGAGGCGCGAAAGCGUGGGGAGCAAACAGGAUUAGAUACCCUAGUAGUCC
rnacentral:rRNA from 1 species